ACAUUUUCCAGUGUUUGGGGUGUGUAGUAUAUAAAUGGAAAGGGGAAAACUAAACUGUUGAUAAGGAAAAUGAUUUAUUGUUUCAAGACACAGUAAUUUUUUUGGAAUUUUUAAAGCUAAGAAAGGAUGUAAUUCACAGAAGAAGCAAAUGUGCACAUAUUUAUUAGUCUGUUGCUGAUAUCUUUUGUGUUGUACUGGAUCACUUUUGGCUGCUGGAACUUUCUUCUUGUUCCUUUUUUUAAUUUUAAUUUGUGUGUAUACUUUUCUCUUUUACAGAAGUUGAUUAAAAUGAAGUAUCCAGACAUAGAGUUCUUAUUGGAGCAAAUCAACUGUUCUCGCUGUUUAACUCAUUUAAUGAAAAAUUACUUUUACCCAUAUAUGUAUUUCAAAUUCUGAGAAAAAAUUUCUAAUUGAUUUAGUGUUACAACCAAACAAUAAAUGUAUUCAUUUCUUCACAAAAUGUUUUGUACAGAAUGAUUUUCACUGGCAAGCCAUUUUCAGCUAAGCAAACCGAGUUUAAUCAAAUAAUGUUUGUACAGAAAAUGGCUUUCACUGGCAAGCCAUUUUCAGCUAAGCAAACCGAGUUUAAUCAAAUAAUGUUUGUACAGAAAAUGGC
rnacentral:misc_RNA from 1 species